rnacentral:siRNA from 1 species
GUAAAUAAUUACAUAGGUAUGC